rnacentral:misc_RNA from 1 species
UACAGAGACUGCAAGCGUUAUUCGGAUUCACUGGGCGUAAAGGGUGCGCAGGCGGCCAGGUGUGUCAGGUGUGAAAGCCCGGAGCUUAACUCCGGAAUUGCGCCUGAAACUAUCUGGCUAGAGUAUCGGAGAGGGAAGUGGAAUUCCAGGUGUAGCGGUGAAAUGCGUAGAUAUCUGGAGGAACGCCAAAGGCGAAGGCAGCUUCCUGGACGAUUACUGACGCUCAGGCACGAAAGCGUGGGGAGCGAAAGGG